AUGUGGUGUCGAAAUGAAGAUGAUAAGCUCACCGCCUGGGAAGUAUGGUCGCAAGGCUGAAACUUAAAGGAAUUGGCGGGGGAGCACCACAAGAGGUGCGGCGUGCGGUUUAAUCUAAUUCAACGCAGAGCAUCUCACCAGCAGCGACGGCAGGAUGAAGGUCAGCCUGAAGGGUUUACCUGACGAGCCGAGAGGUAGUGCAUGGCCGUCGUCAGCUCGUACCGUAAGGUGUCUUGUUAAGUCAAGCAACGAGCGAGACCUGUACCUACAAUUGCUAACAACUCUUUUAAGAGAUUUGAGCACAUUGUAGGAACUGCUCUGGAAACAGAGAGGAAGGUGCAGGCAACGAUAGGUCUGUAUGCUCCGAAUCUGCUGGGCUACACGCGCGCAACAAUGGUAAGGACAAUGUGAUGCAACUCUGAAAAGAGAAGCUAAUCCUCGAAACCUUAUCUUAGUCUAGAUUGAGGAUUGUAACUCAUCCUCAUGACAUUGGAAUCUCUAGUAAUC
rnacentral:rRNA from 1 species